AUUGAACGCUGGCGGCAGGCCUAACACAUGCAAGUCGAGCGAGCGGCGGACGGGUGAGUCAUAUCUGGGAAACUGCCUGAUGGAGGGGGAUAACUACUGGAAACGGUAGCUAAUACCGCAUACCAUCAGAUGUGCCCAGAUGGGAUUAGCCAGUAGGUGGGGGAACGGCUCACCAAGGCGACGAUACCUAGCUGGUCUUAGAGGAUGACCAGCCAAACUGGAACUGAGACACGGUCCCGACUCCUACGGGAGGCAGUAGUGGGGAAGAUUGCACAAUGGGCGCAAUCCUGAUGCAGCCAUGCCGCGUGUGUGAAGAAGGCCUUCGGGUUGUAAAGCACUUUCAGCGGGGAGGCGUUACCCGCAGAAGAAGCACCGGCUAACUCCGUGCCAGCAGCCGCGGUAAUUC
rnacentral:rRNA from 1 species